AAACAACAGUUUCAAUGGUAAGUCCAGGUCCAAAACCGAAUAACACACCCCAUUCAAGUCCUUCCCCAGUGGUUUUGAGUCCAUCUUGAGCUGAUUUCCUUCUCAUUUCAUCUAAGAUGAAUAGGACACAGGCGCUUGACAUGUUACCAUAUUCACUUAGCACUUCUCUAGUAGCUCUCAUCUUUUCUGAUCAAGAAUUGCUGGGCCGCCUGGGUGUGCAAUCCAAAAUAUUGAGUUGUAAUCAGAUAUGCCUAGCGGUUGGAAGGCCUCGAUUAGUGCUUUCUCAAUGUUCUUUGAAACAAUCCCAGGAACAUCUUUAAGGAGAUGAAAUGUCAAUCCAACUUCACGAAGGUGACCAUCAAUGGCUCCUUCACUAUCUGGAGCAAUAGUCUGUGCAGUCCAAACUAACUCAAACAAAGGUUUCUCCGGAUCAGAACCAACAAUGAGUGCAGCUGCCCCGUCUCCAAACAAUGCUUGUCCAACAAGGCUGUCUAGGUGAGUGUCACUAGGGCCACGGAAGGUAACUGCAGUGAGUUCAGAACAAACAACUAGCACACGAGCACCUUUGUUGUUCUCAGCCAAGUCUUUAGCCAAACGAAGCACCGUGCCACCUGCAAAGCACCCUUGUUGGUACAUCAUGUACCUUUUCACAUACGGGCGAAGACCUAAGAGUUUUGUGAGUUGAUAAUCAGCACCGGGCAUGUCUACCACACUUGUGGUGCAAAAGAUUAAGUGGGUAAUCUUGGACUUAGGCUGACCCCAUUCUUUGAUAGCCUUGACAGCAGCUUCUUUGCCUAGUCUAGGUACCUCUACGACCACCAUGUCUUGCCUAGCAUCCAGAGAAGGUGCCAUAUAAGCGCACAUGUUGGGGUUCUCUUUCAAAAGAUCUUCAGUCAAGUGCAUAUAUCUCUUCUUGAUCAUUGACUUGUCACCUGAAAUGAAUUACAAAGAAACAACAUUAGUACAACAAAAUCAAUCUGAUAAUGACUAGUCUGUCUAGCAAUGUAAAUGAAUGUUAUAUAGAAAAAAAAAAUGGAGCUAGAGAGAAAAAUGUAGAAUGCUUACACAUGCGCUGAAAUUUCUCCUUGAUCUCCGUUUUGUGCUCACUGUUAGUGACUCUGAAGUAGAAAUCAGGAUAGGUGCUUUGAUCAACACAGUUAGGAGGAUUAGCAGUGCCAAUAGCGAAGAUGGUUGCAGGGCCUUCGGCUCUUUGAGCCUUACGAAUCUCAGCAACACUCACCAUCUUCAAAUUCUUUGUUUCUGAAAAUAGGUUUGUAAGCAAAGAAAUAUGGAUAGCAAAUAAAGCAGUGCAAUUUGAGCUAAGUUGCAGUAGUUGUUGUUGGUUGUGUAAGAGAGUUGUGGUGUGGAAACUUGUGUGAGGAGAAGGGAAUUUAUAUGUGUGGUCCGUGCGAAGGUUGAUUUUUGAGUUGAGUGUGGUAGCUGAGCAUCACGUGCUGACUACUAUUUUCAUUCUUUCUUUAUUCAACAAUCAGUGACUAUGUUUGGUCAAUGGCUGGCUUGGCUUGGCUGCGCAGUCAUAACCUUCCGAAGUUUGGUGGAAAAUACCUCAAUAAUGAUUCCUAAAAGUCUAAAACCAUAGGUUUGGUGCUGACUACUAUUUUUAUUUUUUAUUAAAUAAAAUUGUAAAACUGUUAAAUGCCUACCAAACACAUUUAUACUUUACCUGGAAAAAAUACUCUGGUAGUCAUAUUCCCAUAACCGUAAGUGUUAUUAUGAGGAAUAUGCUAUUGAAUACAUUUACUUUACGGUUACUGGCCAUCACAAUAUACUUCACAUAAUCUCAUAUGGUCAAACAAACUCUCUAUAUGGUACUGGCAUCGCAAUAUGUUAUUGAAUACAUUUACUUUACCAUUACUUAAGUAUGUGUUUGAAUUUCAGUUAGCAUCAUCGAUAACAAAACCUAAGUGUGUUUGGAAAACUCUCCAACAUUAUUUUCCUAUAAUUUUUUAUGUAUGAAAAUAUGAGAAAAACUAUAUAACCUAGUGAUAGCUUUAUUUUUGUUUGUGACACAGUCAAUUACCAGCUGUUUCUUUUAGAUUGCCAGAAGCCCAGAACCAUAGGUGCCAAAACUUGAUUUAUGGUGAUUUUCCACUAACCGCUGGUACAGGGCGCCAGAAAUUGUGUUUCAUUUACCGGUGACACAAAGCCGCCACUAUAUAGGUCACCACAAGAUGUAUUUACUGGCAGUUUCAGACCCACAAUCUGUACAAUAAAUUCCACAUAAAUCUUGCAGUCCACCACUGAGUGACAAUUCUUAAUUUCUUUGUUGUUCUAUUCAUACAUUGUCUUUCAAACUCAAAAUAUACUGAUGAAAGAUAGCUCUAAUGAUCUUACUAGGCUUUUGGAAGUAGAAAAUAAGAUUAUUCUGGAUAUUAAAACCCAGCAUUGUACUAUCCACUUUCCAAGCCAAAUCCUUACCCUAAUGUCUCCUGAAUAAAUAAGAACUACAGGAGACCAAAUCCAGCAAGCACACUGAAUUUUAAUAUUUAUUUUGAAAAAUAAGGACUACAGAAGGAGACCAAAAUAACCAGGGAAACUGGAGAAACUAAAGGAACAGUCAGUUUGACUCUCUUUAUAUUGCAUACCUCUACUUGUAUCAAAUAUUUUAGUCUAUGUGGAUGACAUAAGAGUUACUGGUGACUCUCUUAAAGUGAUGCAGCUGAUUGUUGACAGGUUGAAUUCUGAGUUUGCAUUGAAACAGCUUGGCCAAUUGGAUUAUCUUUUGGAGGUUCAAGUUUAGCAUUUGAAAGAUGGAUCUCUACUAUUAGGAUAAUCCAAGUAUAUCCAUGACUUGCUUGAGAGGGUUGUUAUGUCUGAAGCAAAAGAAAUUAGUACACCAUGGAAUCAUUGGUUGCCCGAUCCAGUACAGAGGCAGAAUAUAGGAGUCUCGCAAAUACUGUAGCUGAAUUACUCUGGGCUCAGUCAUUGCUCACAGAAUUGAAAAUUCAUUUUCAGACUCUAAGGGUAUACUGUGAUAAUAUGAGUACAAUUGCCCUAACUCAUAAUCCAGUUCUACACUCCAGAACUAAACAUAUGGAGUUGGAUACUUUUUUUGUUCAGGAAAAGAUUCUAAACAAGAGUUUAAUUGUUGAGCAUGGCACAUCUCUUGAUCAAAAGGCUGAUAUUCUCGCCAAAGCACUGUCUCCUAUUCAUUUUUCAGCUUUCACGCACAAACUCAAUGUGGUUGACAAGUUUGCUUUCUAACCUUGAGUUUGAGGGGGCAUAUUAGAGUGUUAUCUUUAGUUCUACACUGUUAUGGUUCAGCUGUUCUGUUAGACUACUUGGUUUUCUACACUGGUAUCUUUCAGAUUGAUUAGUUUGUAAUAGUUAGCUUCUCUAAGAAGCUAAACUCUGCAGUUCUAUAUAAACAAAACUCAUCUUGAACUCAGCAAGCUUUUCAGUUAAUACAAAUCUGAAACAGAUUCAUAGAAGAGUUUUUUUUCCAAACUUGCAUUAUGGGGCUUGAUGCUGAAUAGAAGAGUUUUUUUCCAAUACACAUCCCAGUCAAUAUUGUAAAAUACAUAAAACUCUCAUAUCAGAAAAGUUUACACUGAAACAAAUUCCACACAACCGAAAUGUCAUGCCAUCAGAUAACUGAAACUGAUUAAAAGCAGAAAAAUUAAAUAAUUACAUAGAUAUAUUAGUAUAUUACCAACGAUAGAGAGACAAACAAAGCCAAAUUCAUUUUUUUUCCAAAUUUUAAUUGUCUGUAAACCACAAGAAAAUAUUCAUACUCAAAUAUUAGAAGGUACACUGAAACAUUCAUCAGGACAUAAACUAAAGAAAGGGUACAAUCUUUAGAAGGCUGAGCUUCAUUCUCAUAUGGCUGCAAAUCUCUUUCCACUGAUGCAAGUCGAUGAUGCUGUUACAAAAAUGUUGAGUAGCAAUUGUAACACAUAAAUUUGCAAAAGGAUGAAUGACCCAUGAAGAAGUAAGAAGCAAGAAUAGGCAUUAGACAGUAUGUAUUAACAAUAAGCAAGAAAUCAUGCAGUUGACAUAAAUUCAUGAAACCAUUUCACUUUUGCAUAAAAAGUUGAUCCAAGAUUCAUGUUAAUCUAAAAACAAUAAACCACGUUAUAUAGCAUAAUUGUAUUUUAAAAAGUUGCAUAUUCCACACAAACGACCAACACUCACACUAACGAAAAUGUAAUACAUGCAUAAUUAAAUUAAAGAGAGUCAUUCCUGCCAAUUUUAAUUAUAAUAAAAGGAUCAACUACAAUUUUUUGCAGAAAAUCAAGGAUCAGAACAUUUCAACCAAGAGAAAGGACCACGAAACAAAUGUACAACCUCAAUAAGUACGUUAUAAAUGACUGUAGCAUGGAGCCAUGAGCACUUCAGUAUUUGAUGAAAUUUCUAGUAUCAGGCACCAUAAGGAUAAUAAAACCAGCAAAUGAACAGAAAGAUGAGGAUCAUUAAUUAAACAUAUCAAAUCAAUGUUAUUGAGCCUGGGCAUGGUGAAUCUGAACUGAAGAAAGCAACUCGGGCCUCUCAGUCAGGUCUUAGGCCUGAGUAAGAUUUCUUCUGCCUUCUCAGAAGCCAAUAUAGCUUGGGUAAAAAAUGACUCAAUGAGAAAUCUAUAUGUAUCAAAUCUAACAGGUGAACUGUAAAGGGCUACCUUUUGAGGUUGGUUGGAACAAAGUAGAGAAAAAAGCAUUUCUCUGGUCUCUCUCAUAAGUAUAUUGCCCAGCAAAAAGAAAAGGCUACAGUGCUACACUUAGGUAAUACUUAAAACAAUUCAACCUGAAUAAUACUUCCACAGACAAAGUGAGAUUCUUCCAAUUAAGCAAACACUCACAAAAUAAGAUAAUAAAGCAUAGUUUUUACCUUCCUCUUCUUUAGGACAAGAUCCAAGCACCAGCAGCCUCUGCCACAACCAAGAAGGAAAUUAACUUAAAUAGGUAAAAGCAUCCAAAAUGAAUCGAUAUUUUAUCAGCUUAGAAUUCAAAAUGAAUACAAUGAUAAAAGCAGCAUACGAAACUGAAGCAGAGUGGUGCCAAUCAAGUGUAGAUGGAAAUACCAAAUGAACACCAUAUCCAUGUCUUAUAGAAAUACUUGUAAUUUCCCUGCUGCUACCUCAGCUACGAUGAUAGCAAGGAGCUAUUUUCUAUGGGAAUGAUCAAUUCUCAGUGGCUUAUUCUGUCUACAACCAAACCAAGACCACUGAUUUUCGGCUAUCAGAUUAAAAAUUGUUGAGUUAUGUAAUCAAACACUUCAGUGUAACUGAUGAAGCUAUUCAAAAUGAAACACUACAUUGUAAAGGAUGCAUUAAAAAAAUAGAAUAAAGCUACUAACCAUUCAUUAAUUUAAUUUGAACAUACAUAACCAAACUCCAUAUGAGUUUAUUUUCUUUCUCAAAGAUUCAAUACAGAAUCUAGUGAGUUUGUUGAAGUUACAUAAUAAAUAAAACAAUCAGGCAUAUUAUAUAGCCACACUACGCAAAACAACGGUUUCAAUGGUAAGUCCAGGUCCAAAACCGAAUAACACACCCCAUUCAAGUCCUUCACCAGUGGUUUUGAGUCCAUCUUGAGCUGAUUUCCUUCUCAUUUCAUCUAAGAUGAAUAGGACACAUGCACUUGACAUGUUACCGUAUUCACUUAGGACUUCUCUAGUGGCCUUCAUCUUUUCAGGUUUCAAACCCAACUUCUGCUCAACUUGGUCAAGAAUUGCCGGGCCACCUGGGUGUGCAAUCCAAAAAAUUGAGUUGUAAUCAGAUAUGUUCAAUGGUUGGAAGGCCUCAACUAGUGCUUUAUCAAUGUUUUUUGAAACAAUCCCAGGGACAUCUUUAAGGAGAUGGAACGUCAAUCCAACUUCACGAAG
rnacentral:lncRNA from 1 species